UACGUAGGGAGCAAGCGUUAUCCGGAAUUAUUGGGUGUAAAGGGUGCGUAGACGGGAUAACAAGUUGGUUGUGAAACCCCUCGGCUCAACUGAGGAACUGCAACCAAAACUAUUAUUCUUGAGUGCAGGAGAGGAAAGUGGAAUUCCUAGUGUAGCGGUGAAAUGCGUAGAUAUUAGGAAGAACACCGGUGGCGAAGGCGACUUUCUGGACUGUAACUGACGUUGAGGCACGAAAGUGUGGGUAGCAAACAGG
rnacentral:rRNA from 1 species